rnacentral:rRNA from 1 species
UACAGAGGUCUCAAGCGUUUGUUCGGAUUCAUUGGGGCGUAAAGGGUGCGUAGGCGGCGCGGUAAGUCGGGUGUGAAAUCUUGGAGCUUAACUCCGAAACUGCAUUCGAUACUGCCGUGCUUGAGGACUGGAGAGGAGACUGGAAUUUACGGUGUAGCGGUGAAAUGCGUAGAUAUCGUAAGGAAGACCAGUGGCGAAGGCGGGUCUCUGGACAGUUCCGUGACGCUGAGGCAACGAAGGCCAGGGGAGCAAACGGG